CUGCAUCCACCUCGGCCCGGGUGUCGUCAUUGGCUGCUUAUUAGAAAAGCUACAGGACAAUGCAUACCACCGACUGCCGACUGUAAACAGAGGGGGAUAUGUGUUCACUUAGCAUGGGCUUCUGGGAGGAGCUAAGGAAGGGCGGUCUGGUGUUUUAUUGAAUAGAGCUGUGUGUAUUCGGCCGCCUGCCCUCUCGCUGUGCUCCUGCUCAGAGAAAUCACUCCUUCCUCUCUGCCUUAGUCCCCGGGAAGAAGCUUUGCAGCCUGAGAGAUCCAGACAUUAUCUGGUGUCCCUAAACCGGAAUCCACACCAUGGAUGAUUUUGAACGACGCAGGGAACUCAGAAGGCAAAAGCGAGAAGAAAUGCGCCUGGAAGCUGAAAGAAUUGCCUACCAGAGGAACGAUGAUGAUGAGGAAGAGGCUGCCCGGGAACGCCGCCGCCGAGCCCGCCAGGAAAGGCUGCGACAGAAACAAGAGGAAGACUCCUUGGGGCAGGUGACCACUGACCAGGUGGAGGUUAAUGCCCAGAACAGUGUGUCCAACGAGGAGGUCAAGACAACCAGCACGCACACCUCCGUGUUGGAGGGCGACGAUGAGGCCGCCUUCCAGGAACGGCUGGCCCGGCGGGAGGAGAGACGCCAGAAACGCCUGCAGGAAGCGCUGGAGCGGCAGAAGGAGCUGGACCCCACCAUCACAGACGGAGGCUCGUCGCUGCUGAGCCGCAGAGCCACCAACAGCACGGCCGACGCCGACGGCGCCGAGAAGGAGGAGAAGCGCGAAAGCCGCCAGGAGAGAUACGAGCUGGACGGAGCCGGGUCCAAAUCCUACCAGAAGAAUGACUGGCGGGACGCCGAAGCCCCCAAGAAGGAAGGAAAGGAAAAGGAGGAAGAGGAGGAGGAGGAGGAGGCAAAGCCAAAGCCAGGGAGCAUGGAAGACAAUCAGGUAGAAGUGACCGCAGGAGAGAAACCGGCAGAGUCCCAGGAGGAAACGGGGGGAAUGUCCUUGAAUAAUGGGCAGGUCAGUGCAGAGGAACCCGGGGCAGAGGCUGAGGUCACGGGCAGUGCCAAGGUGGAGGAGGAGGAGAGGGAGAGAGCCCAGGCAGAGAGGGUCAGGCUGGAAGCCGAGGAGAGAGAAAGAAUUAAAGCAGAACAAGAGCAAAAAUUAGCGGAGGAGAAAGCACGGCUAGAAGCCGAGGAGAAAGCCGCUGCUCAAGAAAGAGAAAAGAGGGAGGCAGAAGAGAGGAAGAGGAGGGAGGAGGAAGAGAGGAAGAGGAGGGAGGAGGAAGAGAGGAAGAGGAGGGAGGAGGAAGAGAGGAAGGCUGCAGAGGAGAGGCAAAGAAUCCAGGCAGAGGAAGCAGAGAAAGCUAAGAAAGAGGAGCAGAAGCGUCAGCAGCAGCUAGAAGAGAAAAGACGCGAGAGGCAGGAGGAAAAGAUCAAUGGGGAAAAGGUAGAUGCCAAAAAAGAAGGGAAGUGGGUAAACGAAAAGAAAGCCACAGAAGAUAAACUCCCAACAGCUGCCCCCAAGAAACAGGGAGAAGAGAAAGGGGCCAAAGUGCCAGCUAAAAGAGAACAGUCCCAGGAAGACAAGCCUUCCUACAAAAAAGAAGAGGUCAAAGAUGAGAAGAUGAAAAAGGACAAAGAGCCCAAGGGAGAGGUGAAGAGCUUCUUGGAUGGGAAGAAGGGAUUUACAGAAGUCAAGUCCCAGAAUGGAGAAUUUAUGACCCACAAACUCAAACCCACUGAGAAUACUUUCAGCCGCCCCGGAGGAGCCCGGGCCAGCGAGGUCAAGGAGGCCGAGGAAGCCGGGAAGCGGCUGGAGGAGCUUCGCCGCCGCCGCGGGGAAACCGAGAGCGAAGAGUUCGAGAAACUCAAGCAGAAGCAACAGGAGGCGGCCUUGGAGCUGGAGGAGCUAAAGAAAAAGAGGGAGGAGCGAAGGAAGGUCCUGGAGGAGGAAGAACAGAGAAGGAAGCAGGAGGAAGCCGAGCGAAAAGCCAGAGAGGAGGAGGAGAAGAGGAGGCUAAAGGAGGAGAUUGGAAGGCGACGAGCAGAAGCCGCUGAGAAGCGUCAGAAGAUGCCAGACGAUGCCUCAUCCGACGACAAGAAGCCUUUCAAAUGCUUCACUCCUAAGGGUUCAUCUCUCAAGAUAGAAGAGCGAGCAGAAUUUUUGAAUAAGUCUGUGCAGAAAAGCAGUGGUGUCAAAUCAACUCAUCAAGCAGCUGUCGUGUCCAAGAUUGACAGCCGACUAGAGCAGUAUACCAGUGCAAUUGAGGCCACAGAGCAGCGGACCAGGAGAGAAAUGCCAAGAUCCAGGGCAUAUCCACUCGCUACUGCUGGAAAAGUACCUCAAUGCACUCUUCUCUUCCUGACAUCCCUCUCUUCUUCCUCCCAGUCUACUCUCCAUGCUGUGAUGCCUCAUCUUUCGGUCUCUCAGCCUGGUUAUGCCACAGCCCGCCUCUGCUGCUACCUCUGCAUGGAUAGCGUUUGCUCCUUUUCACCUCAUCACUUCCAAGUCUUCCAGAUCUGGGGACAAAAUCUGCCAAACCUACAAAGUCAGCAGCCUCAGAUCUUCCCGUUCCUGCCGAAGGUGUCCGCAACAUCAAGAGCAUGUGGGAGAAAGGGAAUGUGUUCUCAUCCCCCUCUGCCUCUGGUACACCCAACAAGGAUUUGAGGCCAGGAGAUGUGUCUGGCAAAAGAAACCUCUGGGAAAAGCAAUCUAUGGAUAAGGUCACUUCUCCCGCAAAGGUUUGAGACGAUCCAAGAAGGAACCCAAAACCCACUCAAGAUGCUGGACCAGCUCAGCUGAAGAGGGGUCAUUGGCUUUGUUUUAUAUUUAUGUUGGUUUACUAUGUUGGGUUCAUUUUCUUUUGUUUUAUUUCUCAUUAUCCCAGUAAACUCAUGUAUAUUAUCACUAUAUUUAAUAAUCACAGUCUAGAGAUGUUCAUGGUAAAAGUACUGCCUUUGCACAGGAGCCUGUUUCUAGAGAAACCCAUGCAGUGAAAUAGAGAUUCUUCUACUGAUCCUCGGAACUCUGGGUCUGGUCGGUGAUACCAACGACUUGGAAAGUCCAUGGAAGCAGAUUCAAGUCGAGAUUGCCUGAGGAAAUGUGUGCAGUAACCAGAAAAUGAGUCAUGGGGAUUUGUUGGAAAUACAGAAGGCUUGUUAUGCCUGCACUUUAGAAUAAAGCAUGGAAGAAAUGAUCGUAUUAGGCAAUGGUAACACUUUCUCUAAGUAACCCAAUUCAGCUUUGACAUACUGCAAUGAUGAUUCUUUAAAAAUGUUCUGUUAAGGUAUUGCUUUUUUUCAUGCAGAUGAAUAUCUCGAUUGGAUUCUGAUGUUAGUGGACAGUGGUACUGAUUUCUUUAGGUUGGUUGCUUUGUGGAUUUCUUUGGUAGUGGUAGUACACAACAUUUUAGAUGGCCUGAUUAUGUAUGUAUAUGCAUACACGUAUACAAACACACUAAUGGUAGAAAGCUUUUUGUGUGUGCUAGACUAUUAUAUUUAGCAGUAUGUCCUUGAUACUAGCCAAUAUCACAGCUUUUUAAAAGUUAAAAGUCACAGUGCUAUAUUAAUAUCUCAUUUUUGCCAACAUUUCCAACAUUUUUGCCAAUAUCUCAUUUAUGGCAGAACAGGUAUCAGUGUUUCAAUGUCCAAUAGUCUGUAAGGGGGAAAAAGGGGAAUUUGGAAGUGUGGAAAUGGGUUGACAUUUUCUUUAGAAUAUCAUAUAUAUUUAGUUAAUAAUUAAAAGCAAUCUUGAAGUCCAGUGUGAAUCUUUCCAAGUCUCCCAUCUUGCUCAGACACAACGCUCGCUCACAACUUUAUUCUGUGCAAUUAAGUUCAUCAUAGGUUGUCCUACAAGAUGUAUAAAAUAUUUUCCUUCUGUCAACUUUAAAGACAAGAAUUUUAACGAGAAGGUUGUACAGAUUGGCAUUCCAUGUGUGGGUAUACAAAAAUCAAUGUUGGCUCUGGAAGCAGAGAAAUGAGAAAAACCCAGUAUUUCACGACAGUACUUCCAGCUUUAGUAUACUGACCCAUUUUUUAAAGUUUUGCCUUAUGAGGGUUAGUACUUAUCCUAAGUGGAUUACGUGUUGAACUUUUAAAACACACACAUACACACACACACAUACAUAUAGAACUUUCACUAGUGUUAAUUUUUUAGCCCCAUCUUUUUAACUCAUCACUUUUUUACACAUAUUUUUAUAUCAAAUCUUAUUUUUGACUUAGAAGUAUUCAUCUAUUCAUCCCAAUAAAUGAUAAAAGAGUUGGCAAUGUAUUCUAGCAUCAUAGGUAUACAUAUACUGUAAGUAAAUUAAUUUAUACCUCUACUGACUGAACCAAAAUUGUUGUCAUCUCAAUUUCUACCACAAUGAGAUAGCCCAGCCCAAAGAUCUAUUGUUGAUUCUGUAAUGUUCCCUGGAAGAGCUGGCCAGGGCAGGGCUGCCUAGGUAGUGAUUAUUGCUCUCCAAAGACUAUUUUCUUUGUAAAUCAGUUAAGAAGUUGUUGAAGUCUAGCAUUUAGCAUACCUGGGCCAAAGGAAGGAGUCACCAAGAUGGCACACGUCAUCCAGCUUUGACAGAGGAGACAUGAGUCUAUGAGAUGACCAAGAAUUCACUGGUAGCUGGCAUUAACGCCCUGGCAUUACGCCCAUCACUGAGGUCUAAGGCAAGGGGACAAUGUCUUCUUGUAUUUUUGAACAAGUGCUUCUCCUGAUCACUAUUAUAUGUAUUUUCUAGAAAGUCUAAAAGUUGACAAAAGAAUAUCUCGAUUCUGACUUUUAUUCCACGGCUUGGAUGGAAUGUGUUUUAGGGUAGAAUUUUGUUCUGUUUGGAUUUAAUCCUUUGAAAAACUAAAAUCCUUGUUUACAUGUACGGUUACAAUUCUGUUAUUUUUAAAAAGUCAAACUGCAAAGUGACUAGCAUGUUCUGUGAAUCUGCCAUUCCUAAGAAUUUUGUAACACUUGUUAUUUUUCACUGAUAAAUGAUUGCUGCAAGAAAUAUAUAUUGUGAAAAUGCAUCCACAAUAAAUGGAAUUCCUCCAAAU